UGAACCAACAGCUGUCUUCUGGGUGGAA
rnacentral:piRNA from 1 species